GCUUAAGAAGAGGGGUGAGAAAAAGUCUUAUAAAACGCGAGUGAGCAUCUCCGACACGGCAACAACUGCAGUGCACUUUUUGCCAUCAGCUCUCAGCUAUCUGCCAUCAUCUGUUCUCAAUCAUGGUUGUUUUUAAGGACAAGAAAAGGCGAAAAAAAUCAGUCGAGUGAGCAUCUCCGAUAUGCAAGAGCUGUUGUGCGCCAUUCUUCACCAACUGCAUUCUUCGUCGAAUUGCUAGUUUAAAAUCAUGGUAAACUUUGGCGUCGUGCUGCUGUUGAGUGUUGUAUAGCUGACCGCUGGUUCAGCCAUGGUGUACCAAUGUCUCCUGGGUAUGGCGGAUAACAAAUCGCAACGCCACCACCUUACUACAAAACAUACGACCCGACCAGUUGCUACACCAAGGCCCCCAAGUACUACACCACCAAGGUUCCAGAUUAUUAUACCCCAACUUAUGCUGCCCUGAGCUACUACCCCGAAGUAUUAUUCUUUCCCGAGCUACAGUACCAGAGGUUUGAGUACUACACCGUUGCUCCGAAGAACUAUACUACCAAUACACCGGAGUACUGCACAACUACACAUGGGUAAAUAUUCUGUUACAUGGAGAUAGAAAAGGUGAAAGAAAUCAGUCGAGUGGUCAUCUCUGACACGACAACAGCAACUGCAGUGCCAAGGAUCAGUAUUACACCACAACUUAUGUUGCCCCGAGAUACUACACCAAAGCGCCUGAGUGCUAUAUCGAGGCCACUAAUCACUACACCACUAAGGCAUCGGAUUACUACACUGCAACAUACGCUGCCCCAGCUUAUUACACCGAGGAUCCCCAACACUACACCCCCAAGGCACCGGAGUGCUACACCACCACAUAUCAUGGUCGUAUGAAAGGAGAGAAAAGGUGAAAGAAUUCAGCAGCCGAGUGAGCAUCUCCGCUACAGCAACAGGAACUGCCGUGCACUAGUUGUCAUCAACUUCAUUCUUCGUCGCGUUACAAGUGUUAAAUAAAGUGAUAACUAUGUGCGUCGUGCUGCUGUUGGGUAACGUAUCGUUGAUGGCUGGGUCGACCACUGGUGUACCGAUGUCUCCUGGGUAUGGCGGGUACCAAAGCACAACACUGCCGUGCCGUCUUACUAUUUAGCAUCAACUUCCGCUGCUCCAGCUUACUACACUGAGGCUCAAGUGCUACACCACCAAGGCUCCAGAGUAUUACACCAAAUCUCAUGUUGCCCCGAGCUACUACACUGAAUGCCCGAAGUAUUAUUCUUCCCCGAGUAUGACUACCUUCACCACGCCGCCUCCUUACUAAACAACAACGUCAACACCUUCUUACUAUACAAAGACCUCAACUACUAUACCGAGGAUUUAACUUGUUACACCACCGAAAUUCUCAAGUACUGCGCUACAACCUACGUUUCCCCAGCUAACACCACGAAGGCAGCGGAGUGCUACACCAAGAAGGCAGUCAGUUUACUUACUACAACCUACGGUGCUCCAGAAUACUACAACACAAGGCACAAGGCACCCGAGUUUUGCAUCACUACUUUCGUUACUACCACAUAACACCGAAGCUCUGAAAGUACUUCUCUGCCCCGAGUUACUACACGACUUACGCAGCCGAAUAUGACACCCCAAACUACGUUUCCGUAAUUUUCUACAAGGAAACUCCUUAUUACUAGAGCCGAAAUUUCUACUCGAGGUUAUUUACAUUUAUCGGUUAUUUUCAUGGUAAUUGGUCGCUGGCAAUUAAUUGUUGAUCUUUAAUGAAAAAAAAAAAAACAGUUUUAAUAUGGGUAACAGUUUUGUUAGUAACUUCAAGCCUGUCAACAUUGCGACAGGUGUCUUUUGGUGUUGGAUUUCUUCAAGGCCAGUAAUAUGCCGAGUUGCAAAUUGUUUUAUGUUUAACUACUGCCGUUACUUUGCAUGUUCUUAUGAUUUGACGAUGACGUUUCAAGGGUAAAAAGAGAAAGAAACUUGUAACAGUUGAUUUUUCAAAUCUUUUAAGUAAUAAGCAA
rnacentral:lncRNA from 1 species